AAAAAAAGAAAAAAAGGGGGGGACCAAUGCCAAAGGGCCAAAAUUACUUCGUAAAACCAAUAUGGCAGUAGAAAUAUUAACAACAGAGAAGAUGAAACCCAGAUGAGCAAUGCAGCGAUGAGUGGAUUUACUCCAGUAGACAACAUCCCUUGUCAGAUCUUGAUAACAUUUACCAUGGAGUGCAUGAGAAGCAAGCAGCCCAUGACAUCCUUGCUGUUGAGCAGGUUGACGGCAAGCUUGAGGUUUUGGGCGAUGAGGGAAGCAAAGAUCAGGAAGAUCGAUCCUGAGAUAAAAUAGAAGUGGUAUGGAUCUGGAUUCCUCAAGCAGCAAAGUUCUAGCACCUCCGACGAAAUUGCAGAUAUGGGUAUGAGAGAAAUGUCAUACACGGGUCAGGUCGGAAUAUCCGAAUCAUGCAUAAACAAAAUUCGGAACGGAAUUCAUUCGGAAGUUGGACUCUUCGGGUCGGGUUAGCAGUAUCGGGUCGAGUAGGGUCGGAUGAAAAAUCCUACUUUCUAUCUUCAAAUUCUAAGCCUGUUUUUUUUUUUUUUUUUUUGAAAGGAAUUCUAAGCCUGUUUGUUUAGUAGUACA